rnacentral:rRNA from 1 species
GCGGGGGCUGGGCCUAACACAUGCAAGUCGAGCGGAUGACGGGAGCUUGCUCCUUGAUUCAGCGGCGGACGGGUGAGUAAUGCCUAGGAAUCUGCCUGGUAGUGGGGGACAACGUUUCGAAAGGAACGCUAAUACCGCAUACGUCCUACGGGAGAAAGCAGGGGACCUUCGGGCCUUGCGCUAUCAGAUGAGCCUAGGUCGGAUUAGCUAGUUGGUGGGGUAAUGGCUCACCAAGGCGACGAUCCGUAACUGGUCUGAGAGGAUGAUCAGUCACACUGGAACUGAGACACGGUCCAGACUCCUACGGGAGGCAGCAGUGGGGAAUAUUGGACAAUGGGCGAAAGCCUGAUCCAGCCAUGCCGCGUGUGUGAAGAAGGUCUUCGGAUUGUAAAGCACUUUAAGUUGGGAGGAAGGGCAGUAAGCUAAUACCUUGCUGUUUUGACGUUACCGACAGAAUAAGCACCGGCUAACUCUGUGCCAGCACCCGCGGUAAUACAGAGGGUGCAAGCGUUAAUCGGAAUUACUGGGCGUAAAGCGCGCGUAGGUGGUUCGUUAAGUUGGAUGUGAAAGCCCCGGGCUCAACCUGGGAACUGCAUCCAAAACUGGCGAGCUAGAGUACGGUAGAGGGUGGUGGAAUUUCCUGUGUAGCGGUGAAAUGCGUAGAUAUAGGAAGGAACACCAGUGGCGAAGGCGACCACCUGGACUGAUACUGACACUGAGGUGCGAAAGCGUGGGGAGCAAACAGGAUUAGAUACCCUGAUAGUCCACGCCGUAACGAAUGUCAACUAGCCGUUGGAAUUCUGUGAGAUUUUAGUGGCCGCAGCUAACGCAUUAAGUUGACCCGCCUGGGGAGUACGGGCCGCAGAGGUAAAAACUCAAUGAAUUGACGGGGCGCCCGCACAAGCGUGGAGCAUGUGGUUAAUUCGAAGCACGCGAAGAUCUUACCAGGCCUUGACAUGCAAAGACUUCAGAGAUGAUGGUUGCCGUUCGGACUCUGACCAGUGCUGCAUGCUGUCGUCAGCUCGUGUCUGAAUUGUGAUAUUCCGUAACGAGCGCAUCCUUGUCCUAUACAGCAGUUAUGUGCACCUGAGACUGCGUACACCGGAGGAGGUUGAGAGUGACU